GGCGGUGUAGCUCAGUGGUAGAGCACGCGGCUCAUAACCGCGGCGUCGCUGGUUCGAACCCAGCCACCGCCA
rnacentral:tRNA from 1 species